AAAACUAAAAAAAAAAAAGUCACUUGUGUACAUGAAAAAGUAAGGCGUAAUUUUUACCCCUGUACAUCUAAAAAUUCAGACAUAAUUUUUUGGAAUUUUAUUAUAAAAAAUCAUAUUAGUGUUUAUCUCUAUCGAAAAAUUUAGAUAAUUUUUUUAAAUUUUAAUAUUAAAAAACUAAUUGAUAAAAUUAAUGUGAAGAUAUAGACACAUGGAUGAAAAAAGUGUAAGAUUUAUAUCCAUAUUUGGGAAGCAAAGGUUGCUUUUGUUUUUUAGUUUUAUGUUCAUGGUGGUUUCUUACAUUUUUUUUUUUUUUAAGGAGAAUCACAAGUCAUUGGUCUCCUACCGAAUAUUGUUAUGUUAGGAAUUUCAUUCCGAAACCAUUGGAUAGAUACCCUCCAAAGCCCGUUGUCAUUUAUACUUGAAGCUUGGUGGUACUUACAAAGAGUAACUAAGAGGAAUUUUUUUUUUAUGAAUUUUGUUUUCAUCCAAACAAUAUAUUUUAAAGAUUACUUAUUUUCCAUCCUUUAUCUUAUUUUUUGUUUUUUUUUUUAACUACAACUAAAAUCUAUGAGGGGUAGAAAUUGCUGCAUGAUUUGGCUUAGGGUUUAUUUGAUUCUAUGUAAAACUAUGAAAAACCGCUUCAGUGGAAAAGUAUUUUUAAUGAAAAAAUAAUUUUAUGAAUUUUUGUAUUUGAUUUGUAGGAAAAGAAAAUAAGGUUUUCACGGUACUUGUUUGGAUCGUAGAAAAUGGAGAUGAAAAACUAUAUAAUUUAUUUUAUUUUUUCUAUUAUUAUAGAUUUAUAUUAAUUAUAUUAUACGGCAUGUAUUAUUUUGUUAAUUUUAUUGUAUAUAUAGAUAGUAUAUUAUUGUAGAUAUUAAUAUAUAUUUUCAAACAAAAUAUAACCUAUAUCAUAUUAUUCUAUAUUAUUAUAGAUAUUACAUCACUCAAUUAAACAUAAAUGGGGUUCCAAAAGAAUGAUGAAUUAUUACGGCAUCCAUGCACCGCAUUCAUCUCCUAAUUUAAUUUAACUAUUAAUUUUAAAUAAAUAUAAAAACAACUACUAAAUAUCAAUAUUAGAGAUUAAAAUAAAGUAAAAGAUUAGAUAAGACUAAAAAAAAAAAAGGGAAAACUUUUAAAAAAACUCCAUGGUUUCGCACUUUCUCACUUUAGUAUCCUAUAGUUUAAAGUGUAUCAAUUUAGUGCCAUGUGGUUUCAUUUUUCUCUUUUUAUUAUCAAUUUCAUUAUUUUUUAAAAAAAUUAGUGACAAAAUUAAAAUUAAAAUUAAAAAGUACUAAAAUAAAUAUUCGAUAAAUCUAGAUGGGCAUCUAAAAUUUUUUGUAUAUAAUUUAACAAAAUAUUAACGAAAAAGCUGCCUAAAAAAUAAAAAUGAAACCACAGGAUACCAAAUUGAUACACUUUUAACCACAGGGUAUUAAAGUGAGAAAGUGUGAAACCAUAGGAGGGAUUUUUGAAGUUUUUCCCA
rnacentral:lncRNA from 1 species